rnacentral:rRNA from 1 species
UACGGAAGGCAGCAGUGGGGAAUAUUGCACAAUGGGCGAAAGCCUGAUGCAGCUAUGCCGCGUGUAUGAAGAAGGCCUUAGGGUUGUAAAGUACUUUCAUCGGGGAGGAAAAAACAAAACUAAUAAUUUUAUUUCUUGACGUUACCCGAAAAAGAAGCACCGGCUAACUCCGUGCCAGCAGCCGCGGUAAUACGGAGGGUGCUAGCGUUAAUCAGAAUUACUGGGCGUAAAGAGCACGUAGGUGGUUUUUUUAAAGUCAGAUGUGAAAUCCCUGGGCUUAACCUGGAACUGCAUUUUGAAACUGAAAUACUAGAGUAUCGUAGAGGGAGGUAGAAUUCUAGGUGUAGCGGUGAAAUGCGUAGAUAUCUGGAGGAAUACCUGUGGCGAAAGCGGCCUCCUAAACGAAUACUGACACUGAGGUGCGAAAGCGUGGGGAGCAAACGAGGGAUUUAGAUACC